rnacentral:rRNA from 1 species
AAGGACGUGAUAAGCUGCGAUAAGCUUUGGGGAGGUGCAAAUGACCUUUGAUCCAGAGAUUUCCGAAUGGGACAACCCAAUAUCUUGAAGAGGUAUUAUCUUACUAUGUAAGAGGCUAACGCAGGGAACUGAAACAUCUUAGUACCUGCAGGAAAAGAAAAUAAACAAUGAUUCCCCCAGUAGUGGCGAGCGAACGGGGAACAGCCCAAACCAUCCAUGUUACGGCAUGGGUGGGGUUGUAGGACUACGCCGUUGCAUGAAGACAUCAGAGAAGAACUUUCUGGAAAGAAAGACCAUAGAGCAUGACAGUUGCGUAUUCGAAUGUUGUCGAAGCAUAGUAGUAUCCUGAGUAGCGCGGAGCACGAGGAAUUCUGCGUGAAUCUGCCGGGACCAUCCGGUAAGGCUAAAUACUCCCGAGAGACCGAUAGCGAACCAGUACCGUGAGGGAAAGGUGAAAAGCACUUCGAACAGAAGAGUGAAAUAGUUCCUGAAACCGUGCGCCUACAAGCGGUCGGAGCUCGUUAAUGAGUGACGGCGUGCCUUUUGCAUAAUGAACCUACGAGUUGCCUUUGCCGGCAAGGUUAAGUGUGACGACACACGUAUCCGAAGCGAAAGCGAGUCUGAAGAGGGCGUAUAGUCGGCAGUGGCAGACGCGAAACCAAGUGAUCUACCCUUGGCCAGGUUGAAGGCUGGGUAACACCAGCUGGAGGACCGCACCAAUAAGCGUUGAAAAGCUUCUGGAUGAGCUGAGGGUAGGGGUGAAAGGCUAAUCAAACUUGGAGAUAGCUCGUACUCCCCGAAAUGCAUUUAGGUGCAGCCUUGCGGGUUACUGAUGUGAGGUAGAGCGACUGAUAAGAUGCGAGGGCUUCACCGCCUAUCAAGUCUUGACAAACUCCGAAUGCGCAUCAGUUCUACCGCAGGAGUGAGGGCAUGGGUGCUAAGGUCCGUGCCCGAGAGGAGAAGAAUCCGGACCACCUGCUAAGGUCCCGAAAUGACAGCUAAGUUAAACUAACGAAGUCUGACUGCUAAGACAGCUAGGAUGUUGGCUUGGAAGCAGCCAUUCAUUUAAAGAGUGCGUAACAGCUCACUAGUCGAGGAGUCGGGCGUGGAUAAUAAUCGGGUAUCAAGUUGUCUACCGAAGCAGUGGGAUCAUUAAUAUGAUCGGUAGGGGAGCAUUCCAGUCAGCGUCGAAGGCGUACCGUGAGGUAUUCUGGAGCGUCUGGAAAAGCAAAUGUAGGUAUAAGUAACGAUAAAGGGGGCGGGAAACCCCCUCGCCGAAAGACUAAGGUUUCCUGAUCAACGCUAAUCGGAUCAGGGUCAGUCGGGUCCUAAGGCUCAGCCGAACGGCGAUGCCGAUGGCAGAAACGGUUAAUAUUCUGUUACUACCUUCAGGAGUGACGUGGAGACGCAGUAGUGACAGUGCCGCCAUCUGACGGAAUAGAUGGUUGAAGGGUGUAGGAGUCGAUCAUGGCAGGCAAAUCCACCAUGAGAUCCGAACCUGAUAGUAUGCCGCGUCCUUCGGGACAAGGCAAUAGUGCGCGUAAGCAUGCUGCCGAGAAAAUCCGCUAAACUUAAUCCUGUAGGUACCCGUACCGCAAACGGACACACGUAGUCGGGAUGAAUAUUCUAAGGCGCUUGAGUGAUUCACGGUUAAGGAACUAGGCAAACUGACCCUGUAACUUCGGGAUAAAGGGUCCCUACCCUUUUAUGGGAGGGCGCAGAGAAUCGGUCCAGGCAACUGUUUAACAAAAACACAGGGCUGUGCCAAAUCGAAAGAUCCAGUAUACAGCCUGACACCUGCCCGGUGCUGGAAGGUUAAGAGGAGAUGUCAUCGAUAAGAGAAGCGUUGAAUUGAAGCCCCAGUAAACGGCGGCCGUAACUAUAACGGUCCUAAGGUAGCGAAAUUCCUUGUCGGGUAAGUUCCGACCUGCACGAAUGGUGUAAUGAUCUGGACGCUGUCUCAACCGUGAGCUCAGUGAAAUUGUAGUAUCGGUGAAGAUGCCGAUUACCCGCGAUGGGACGAAAAGACCCCGUGAACCUUUACUAUAGCUUAUCAUUGAAUCUGGGCACGUGAUGUGUAGGAUAGGUCGGAGGCUUUGAAGCAGGUACGCCAGUAUUUGUGGAGCCGCUGUUGAAAUACGACCCUUUAUUUGUUUGGAUUCUAACCCGUGGAACGGGGACAUUGAUUGGUGGGUAGUUUGACUGGGGUGGUCGCCUCCAAAAGCGUAACGGAGGCUUCUAAAGGUGCCCUCCGGCCGAUUGGUAACCGGCCUUAGAGUGUAAUGGCAUA